GCCUCGGUGGUGUAGCGGUAGAACGCGUCCACGGUAUGGAUGAAACGCGGGUUCAACUCCCGUGUGAAGUC